CAGAAAUAUUGAACCAAAACGGGAGUUGGGCCGAGCUUUUCCUAUUUUGCAUAUCCAUUGUAUUUGCGCGCAUUUGAUUGGUUCCCGAAAUCCACAAAUCACGGGUCUUAGACCCGUGAAAAAAUGGCGGCUAGACGAGAGAAGGGUUUUUAUCGUACGCUUAAUUCGAUCUCUUCCGUUGAUCUUUUUUGCGAUCGACCUUUGAAACGAAUUCAAGGUAAAGGUCGGCUUUGGGAAGUUGACCGGCUUGUCUUAGAGCGCAAGACCACAGAAGGCAAGCAUGAAUACCUCGUUUUAUGGAAGGGCUUCUCUCCCUACGAUGCAACAUGGGAACCUGUCGAAAACAUGACGUCCGAGUUUGUCCGGUACGUCAGAAGAUUCAGAAGCUCAACUCUACUGGGAUGCGGACCUACUAUUUACCACUAGGGCUUUUUUCACCUAUUAGUUUCCAAAUUUAAAAAAAAUUGAGAC